rnacentral:lncRNA from 1 species
GAUCUUCUCCAUAAGAAGCAGACGGAUAUCUCAUCUUUUCACCAAAGCUGCUACCAUUCAUAUGACGUGGAGACGGUUCCUGCUGCUCGGUCAAUACAUAUCCACUUCUGGAGGAGGCAUGGAACCUAGGCACUUCACUGUCAUGUAGAGACAAGCCUGCUAAAGAGAGCCCUCCUAGUCCCUGAGACUCAUCGUCGCUCAUAACCUUAAAAUCAGGGGUGAUAUCAUCUGGCAGCUGGUGGCGCCAGAACUGAUGGGCCUCAUCA